GACGUAGGAGACGAGCGUUGUCCGGAUUUACUGGGCGUAAAGCGCGCGCAGGCGGCCCCGCAGGUCGGUUGUGAAAGCCCCCGGCUCAACCGGGCGGAGGCGAGCGAAACCGCGGGGCUGGAGGCUGGCAGAGGGUGGUGGAAUUCCCGGUGUAGUGGUGAAAUGCGUAGAGAUCGGGAGGAACACCCGCGGCGAAGGCGGCC
rnacentral:rRNA from 1 species